rnacentral:misc_RNA from 1 species
GCUCCAUGCUAGUUACAACUAAAAUUUGUAUUUAAUGAAGCUCAUUUACCUGUACGCCGUCAGUUUUCAACGGAUUGGUAAACAGGCAUGGAUCGUAGGGUGGCCGCAUUUGCUGUUUCGGUAAUACUUGGCUUUCUGGUCUGCGGUGAGGCACCCUUCGUUAAAAUGACGAAUGCAGUGUGCAAGUCCUACAACAAAACAUGGGUGGUUGUUCACUACUGUCGCCUGAAGGCCUAUUCCCGAACCAAGACCAGCCUGAACAUAAACGCCACGUUCAUAGAGCCAGCCAAGAACAUAUACCUCCACAUGAAGAUGAUGAAGAAGGCCAGUGGGUAUAAGCCCUUCCUGUUCGACUACACCUUCGACGCCUGCGAGUUCAUGCGAAGGCGCAACCAGCCGUUCGCCAAAAUCGUUUGGAACCUGAUUAGGAACGUGUCCACGGUCAACCACACCUGUCCCUAUGAGGGCUUGCAGAUGUUAAGCGAUUUCCAUCACAUUGAAGUUCCCGUUCCACUUCCGACCGGAGAGUACCUACUUCUGCUUGAUUGGAUCUUCGACUUCAAGCCACAGUUCGCUACGAAUGUGUAUUUCACCUUCGUGGAGGAAAAGUGAAAAGUUUCAAUCUGAGAGCGAUAUGUUAUCAAACUUUUCUCUGAUAUAUGCGAAAAUGUUUAGAUGGCCCGAAGUGGACUUCACCCCCUGUACCACCUCCUUAAGCGAGAUACUUACUCCAUCAAUCGGGGAUCUGGUAGCCAGUAACAUGCUUUCAUUGCAAAUGAGACUAUAUCCAGGGAAUGCCUUUGUUUCUCGAUGGCCCCUCAUUAGUUUUCCAUAGCUGGUUCAUCAGCCCAUAGAUAUAUACUCGGAAAAGCUGAGCGAAUGGCAUUCAGGAGGUCUUGUUCGGGUUCCGGUUCAUCGCACAGAAUAAUACAAAUCGCAAAUCUUUAUGCAAGCAUUAGCACGCCGAUAAUGAUGAUUUCGAAAGAACGCUAAAAUAUUGUUAAUUGGUCAAUUUAGCUCGCUUACUUUUGCAUCGCACUGAACAUUUUGUAACCCGCUAAAAAUUUACAGAGGGAAGGCUUCUAUUUGCGCCAUUUUCAUAUAACUCCGCAAUUAAUUGGCGCCAUAAAUCGCAUUUGAAGACUGGACCUGUUCCACUGCGGCACAUGAUAUGCUGGCCAUCCGCAAUUAGAUGAACCCCAAUUAGUGUUAAUCAAAUUAGGCAAAACCCGGGUAAAGCAAAUGGCGCUCCGUCCAAUUCCGGCAGGCGUCAAAUUAUACA